rnacentral:rRNA from 1 species
AGUCCCUACGGGACGCAGCAGUGGGGAAUAUUGCACAAUGGGGGAAACCCUGAUGCAGCAACGCCGCGUGAAGGAAGACGGUUUUCGGAUUGUAAACUUCUUUUCUUAGUGAAGAAGCAAGUGACGGUAGCUAAGGAAUAAGCAUCGGCUAACUACGUGCCAGCAGCCGCGGUAAUACGUAGGAUGCGAGCGUUAUCCGGAAUUACUGGGUGUAAAGGGAGCGCAGGCGGGACUGCAAGUUGGAUGUGAAAUACCGCGGCUUAACUGCGGAGCUGCAUCCAAAACUGGUGUGCUUGGGUGGAGUG